CUGUACACUUAAUAUCUCUACAUUUCAUGAAGUAUGGAAAUUACACUUCAAUAAAAAUAAAAAUAAAUUCUAAUUUUCAUGUCUGCAUUUUCCAAUAUUACUAUAAUGAACAUUCACUACUUUUAUAAUAAAAAAUAAACACCUAGAAAUGAAGGUCGGAUUACUGCAUAUGUCAAACUUCUUUGAACUGUAAAGUGCACCUCAACUUGGGCUAGCCACAUUUAAAGAACUCAGUGGUACCAUAGAUAGAUGGCUGGAGAAGAAAAACUGAUUAUCAAGACAGAAUAUGUUAGAAGAUUAAGAACCUACUAUGAUGGUAAUCUAUGCUAGCAGAAAGAUGAGCUAUCUGUGGUUUAUAGACUUGGAAAAGUGAACAUUUUAAGUCAUUUUUAUGGCAACUUUCAAUUAAAUGCCUAAAACUUCAUAAUGAUAUGAGAAGAAAGUACUGCAUUAAAUGAUUUCCAUUUAAAAUA